UACAGAGGUCCCAAGCGUUGUUCGGAUUCACUGGGCGUAAAGGGUGCGUAGGUGGCGGGGUAAGUCGGAUGUGAAAUCUCCGAGCUCAACUCGGAAAUGGCAUUGGAAACUACCUUGCUCGAGGGUUGGAGGGGGGACUGGAAUUCCCGGUGUAGCGGUGAAAUGCGCAGAUAUCGGGAGGAACACCGGGUGGCGAAGGCGGUUCUCUGGGCCUUACCUGGACGCUGAGGAGCGAAAGCGUGGGGAGCGAACAGG
rnacentral:rRNA from 1 species